UACAGAGGGGGCAAGCGUUGUUCGGAAUUACUGGGCGUAAAGGGCGCGUAGGCGGCCCGCUAAGUCGAACGUGAAAUCCCCGAGCUCAACUCGGGAACUGCGUCCGAUACUGGUGGGCUUGAAUCCGGGAGAGGGAUGCGGAAUUCCAGGUGUAGCGGUGAAAUGCGUAGAUAUUGGGAAGAACACCUGAGGCGAAGGCGGGUUGCUGGGCUGACACUGACGCUGAGGCGCGAAAGCCAGGGGAGCGAACGGG
rnacentral:rRNA from 1 species